UGCCAGCAGCCGCGGUAAUACGGAAGGUGCGAGCGUUAAUCGGAUUUAUUGGGCGUAAAGGGCUCGUAGGCGGUUCAACAAGUCGGUCGUGAAAGCCCGGGGCUCAACUCCGGGACGCCGGUCGAUACUGUUGUGACUAGAGUUCGGUAGAGGUGAGUGGAAUUCUCAGUGUAGCGGUGGAAUGCGCAGAUAUUGAGAGGAACACCAUUAGCGAAGGCGGCUCACUGGGCCGAUACUGACGCUGAGGAGCGAAAGCGUGGGGAGCAAACAGGAUUAGAUA
rnacentral:rRNA from 1 species